rnacentral:tRNA from 1 species
GCUCCCUUCGUCUAGUGGUCCAGGACGUCGCCCUCUCACGGCGAAAACAGGGGUUCGAGUCCCCUAGGGAGCG